GAUUGAACGCUGGCGGCAUGCCUUACACAUGCAAGUCGAACGGCAGCACGGGUGCUUGCACCUGGUGGCGAGUGGCGAACGGGUGAGUAAUACAUCGGAACAUGUCCUGUAGUGGGGGAUAGCCCGGCGAAAGCCGGAUUAAUACCGCAUACGAUCUACGGAUGAAAGCGGGGGACCUUCGGGCCUCGCGCUAUAGGGUUGGCCGAUAGCUGAUUAGCUAGUUGGUGGGGUAAAGGCCUACUAAGGCGACGAUCAGUAGCUGGUCUGAGAGGACGACCAGCCACACUGGGACUGAGACACGGCCCAGACUCCUACGGGAGGCAGCAGUGGGGAAUUUUGGACAAUGGGCGAAAGCCUGAUCCAGCAAUGCCGCGUGUGUGAAGAAGGCCUUCGGGUUGUAAAGCACUUUUGUCCGGAAAGAAAUCCUUGGCUCUAAUACAGUCGGGGGAUGACGGUACCGGAAGAAUAAGCACCGGCUAACUACGUG
rnacentral:rRNA from 1 species